rnacentral:lncRNA from 1 species
GCCCAGAGAACAAGCGAUUCUAGAAAAACGCUGGAGGUCGGAAGUGCAGGUGUAGCUGAUCCAUCACUCAGUGGGCGUGGCCACCAACAAACUGUAGUCUUUUGAACUUCCUUCCAGACCUAGUCUACCCAAAAGAUAACGGACCUUAACACUUCCUCCUCAAAAUUCUAUUUUUCUAUAGGGAAGAAGACCAAUCAGGACUUUCGGAGAUACAUUUUUUUUUAUUUUAUUACUUAUUUAUUUCCACUGAGACAGGGGCUCCCUGCCUCUGAUCGUUUUUAACUUUAUUGUAACGUUAACAUUUCUACCUGAUGAGGGGAAACUUAAAUGGACAAACAAAAACAUUUUUCAGGUUUUUUUACACCUCAUUUGUCUGGUUUUUUUUUUGCUUGUUCUGUUUCGUUUUGGGUUGUUUUUUUUUUUUUUUGAACAGGGUAAUCCAGGUUGGUCACCCACUCACUAGCUGCCCUUCGUGUUAUUCAUGUUCCUGCCACUGCCUCCUAAAGGCUGAGAGUACAGAAUGAAGAUUAGCAAGGAAAGGCGGAGCCGAGUUUGUGAACAAAUACGGCAAUGAGCAUUGACUACACAUGACAAUAUACCAGACUUAGCCUUGACACAGUGUACCAGUCUUUCAACAUUCUUGACAUUUGGACCCCAAACGUUGGCCAUGUAAACAUCUUAGUGGGAAUGGAAAUAUUCCUAGGAGAUGAGAGUGGCCCUCCUUUGAACUGUCAAACUACUGAGAUGAUGCACUCCAAGAAAUCACAAUUGUCUUGCAAAUAAAUCUCUCAUGCUGGAAUAAAGAAAAGGUUGAGAAAUCUGGUGUUGACCAGAAGUGGAACUGUCUCCCAGAAAGAGACCUCACACAUUUCUUGAGACUUGUCAGACCACUCUGCUGCAGACUAGACAAUGAAGAAGAAGAGGAUGAGUGACUUGACUGGGUCUGCUCAGCUAUGCAGAACUGCUGCUAUCCUUAACUGGAAUCCUCAUGUUAGGACCUGGGAAAGAUGAACUGGACGCCUGAAGCAUGCUAUAUAUAGGAUAUCAUUGGAUCUUCUUGUCCUUUUCCCCGGUAAC